rnacentral:rRNA from 1 species
GACGAACGCUGGCGGCGUGCUUAACACAUGCAAGUCGAACGGAAAGGCCCUUCGGGGUACUCGAGUGGCGAACGGGUGAGUAACACGUGGGUGAUCUGCCCUGCACUUUGGGAUAAGCCUGGGAAACUGGGUCUAAUACCGAAUAGGACCACGCACUUCAUGGUGUGUGGUGGAAAGCUUUUGCGGUGUGGGAUGGGCCCGCGGCCUAUCAGCUUGUUGGUGGGGUAAUGGCCUACCAAGGCGACGACGGGUAGCCGGCCUGAGAGGGUGACCGGCCACACUGGGACUGAGAUACGGCCCAGACUCCUACGGGAGGCAGCAGUGGGGAAUAUUGCACAAUGGGCGCAAGCCUGAUGCAGCGACGCCGCGUGAGGGAUGACGGCCUUCGGGUUGUAAACCUCUUUCACCAGGGACGAAGCGUAAGUGACGGUACCUGGAGAAGAAGCACCGGCCAACUACGUG